GUCAACUAUCACUUCACUCGCCAGUGCAACUACAAAUGCGGCUUCUGUUUCCACACAGCCAAAACAUCCUUUGUGCUGCCCCUUGAGGAAGCAAAGAGAGGAUUGCUUUUGCUUAAGGAAGCUGGUAUGGAGAAGAUCAACUUUUCAGGUGGAGAGCCAUUUCUUCAAGACCGGGGAGAAUACCUGGGCAAGUUGGUGAAGUUCUGCAAAGUAGAGUUGCGGCUGCCCAGCGUGAGCAUCGUGAGCAAUGGAAGCCUGAUCCGGGAGAGGUGGUUCCAGAAUUAUGGUGCGCUCCAUGGGAUGGAACUCUCCCUAUUGCUAUUGUUAUUGUUGGUUCUUGUAUUUCCUUCCAUCCUGGGCCUUCAGCCAGACCUGCUGAGGAACUGGAAAGGAGGAAAAACUAAUCUUGCUUACUCUGAUUGCUUUUCAAGCUGUGCACGGCGUUAUGGCAAUUUUAGUUCCUUAGGGCUCUCAGUAAACAAGUUUGGUAAGUUAGAUAACAGACCUUUUACUGAGAUGACUAUCUUGUACAUUGCAAUUUAGCAAAUACAAUAUCUAUGGCCUUAGUUUAGACACUA
rnacentral:sRNA from 1 species